rnacentral:rRNA from 1 species
AGAGUUUGAUCCUGGCUCAGAACGUACGCUGGCGGCACGCCUAACACAUGCAAGUCGAACGAAGUAGCAAUACUUAGUGGCAGACGGGUGAGUAACAUGUAGGUAUCUACCCUUUGGCCUGGAAUAACACGAGGAAACUUGUGCUAAUACUGGAUAAGUCUUUACGGAGAAAGCUUUAUGCACCAUUGGAUGAGCCUGCACUUGAUUAGUUUGUUGGUGGGGUAAUGGCCUACCAAGACUGUGAUCAAUAGCUGAUUUGAGAGGAUGAUCAGCCACAUUGGGACUGAGACACGGCCCAAACUCCUACGGGAGGCAGCAGUGGGGAAUCUUGCACAAUGGAGGAAACUCUGAUGCAGCGAUGCCGCGUGAGUGAAGAAGGCCUUUGGGUUGUAAAGCUCUUUCGUCGGGGAAGAAAAUGACUGUACCCGAAUAAGAAGGUCCGGCUAACUUCGUGCCAGCAGCCGCGGUAAUACGAAGGGACCUAGCGUAGUUCGGAAUUACUGGGCUUAAAGAGUUCGUAGGUGGUUGAAAAAGUUGGUGGUGAAAUCCCAGAGCUUAACUCUGGAACUGCCAUCAAAACUUUUCAGCUAGAGUAUGAUAGAGGAAAGCAGAAUUUCUAGUGUAGAGGUGAAAUUCGUAGAUAUUAGAAAGAAUACCAAUUGCGAAGGCAGCUUUCUGGAUCAUUACUGACACUGAGGAACGAAAGCAUGGGUAGCGAAGAGGAUUAGAUACCCUCGUAGUCCAUGCCGUAAACGAUGUGUGUUAGACGUUGGAAAUUUAUUUUCAGUGUCGCAGCGAAAGCGAUAAACACACCGCCUGGGGAGUACGACCGCAAGGUUAAAACUCAAAUGAAUUGACGGGGACCCGCACAAGUAGUGGAGCAUGUGGUUUAAUUCGAAGAUACGCGCAGAACCUUACCAACACUUGACAUGUUCGUCGCGACUUUAAGAGAUUAGAGUUUUCGGUUCGGCCGGACGAAACACAGGUGCUGCAUGGCUGUCGUCAGCUCGUGUCGUGAGAUGUUGGGUUAAGUCCCGCAACGAGCGCAACCCUCACUUUUAGUUGCCAUCAUUUAGUUGGGCACUCUGAAAGAACUGCCAGUGAUAAGCUGGAGGAAGGUGGGGAUGACGUCAAGUCCUCAUGGCCCUUACGUGUUGGGCUACACACGUGCUACAAUGGUAUCUACAACAGGAAGCAAAACUGCGAAGUUAAGCAAAUCCUUAAAAGAUACCUCAGUUCGGAUUGCACUCUGCAACUCGAGUGCAUGAAGCUGGAAUUACUAGUAAUCGUGGAUCAGCGUGCCACGGUGAAUGCGUUCCCGGGUCUUGUACACACCGCCCGUCACACCAUGGGAGUUGGUUCUACCUUAAGGCAAGGUUUAAAACCCUUGACCACGGUAUAGUCAGCGACUGGGGUGAAGUCGUAACAAGGUAACC